AUGGGAUUCAUUCUGAACAACUGUGUCACUUUUGUAUCACUGUGGUGGACUUUUGGUGGAGGAACCAGACUGGAGUUUGGAAGUGAUGCCCGUCCCACCCUGACGGUGCUGCCCCCCUCCAGCGAGGAGCUGCAGCAGGGGAAGGCCACGCUCAUGUGCCUGGCCAACAAGGGCUUCCCCUCAGACUGGAGUCUGGCCUGGAAGGUGGACGGCAGCAGCAGCAGCAGCAGCAGCAGCUGGGAGGAGAGCAGGAGCCCCGGGGUGCUGCAGAAGGACGGCCACUACAGCUGGAGCAGCACCCUG